rnacentral:lncRNA from 1 species
UAACUUCCAAAGAAACCCGGGUAAGACCUCGACACGCUACUCGAUCCAUUCCUACGGAGGAUUGCUACUACUAUUAUCUGCAAUCAAAAGGUAUGUACAUGAGCUAUAAAGCUCAGUAAGAAAUUAGAGUAAUUAUCGAACUUUAGAAAUAUAUAUAUAUAUAUGAUGACGCUAAAAUUAGAUCACCUUAAGUAGUUGAGCUGGGAGAGCGAAGUGGAUCACUGCUCAUGUGCUAGAUGGCCCUGAGAUACCUGCGAAGAGAGAACACGUGAACUAGGCCGGGGGUUGAUCCGGCGGAAACCCCUCCGACGCUCAAGUCAGACGUGCUGAUAGUAUAAAAUGGUCCAGAGAAUACAUAUUUUAGUAUCGCUC